AAUGAAAAUAAUAAACACUAAAAUUUUGAAAGUUUGUCAAAACAAUUUUGAGCAAUUAAUAUGAUUAUUUUAUGCUUUUUGUUCACUUUAGGGUUUUACAUUUUUCUAUUAUAAAGAAAAAAUUCAUAAAUAAAAAGUGAAGCAAAAGAUAUAAACUAAAGUAAAACAUUGAAACAAACAUUGUUAGUGUAAAAUAAUAACCAAUUUCUACACCUAAGCAGCACUAAGUUGGGAGUACUAAGUUGCAAGCCGUUUCCCUUGACAAUGUCAAUUUUACAUGAUGAGUCUGGAGGUCCAUGCCAUUCACUAUUAUCCUCAGGUCGGUAUCCUCUCCCCUAGUUCCUUCUCUUUCCCUAACAAUUGUUUUGAUGCUGUUAAUCUUUUGGAAUUACACUGUCACAUCAUUGUACUAUCCCAUCUAAUUUUCUGCCUAGACAGUACAUUGUAUAUAUCAGAAAAGUCUGUUUUCCAAAAAAUAACCAAUUUAUGUAAAAAUCAUAAAGUAUGAGACUGAUAAAAACUCAAUAACACUAUUUAUUGCAAUUUAAUAAUUUUAUAAAUUAUAUCCAGAAACAUAAUGGAAUUCAUUCAAGGUCAAGGAGCUAGUUAAAAACGUGAAAAUUGUCAGAAUUAAAAUGGAGGCAAUUGUGUUAAAAAUCCUGACAGAUGGAGCUCGGGAAAGCAAUGAAGAAAGGGUUCCCAUUCACGAAUGCCUGACAACAGGAAUUGUCAGAAAAGACUGCAAAACCACAACCUUGCACAAAGGCCAUUGCAACCUUGCACAAAAAAAAAUACUUCUGCAAGGAUAUCUGCCCAGCAACUGCCUAUCUGACUUCAAACUGGUGCCAUCCUUAUUAUUGAUCCUUGUAACCAGGAAUAAUUAUCUCGAAAUAAUUGUGUACUCCUCUUCAUUUUUCUUUAAAAACCAUUGCCUUUCUUUACCCUCCUGAAUAAGCACAUAGUUUACUACGGUAUGUGUAUUCCCAUUGCAGUACCCAUGCUAAAUAAAUAUCAUUUUCUUUCAGAGUGCUUAUUAUUUAGAUUAAUAAAAGCAACGAGGACCAGAACCAAAUAAGGUCUCCUUAAUUUUAGCCCAAUUAUUUUCAAAGUAACUCCUCAUUCCAAAUCCCCUUCUCAACCUACUUCCCUAUUCAAAUGCUUGACAGACAUUGAUGUGAGGGUGACAGCAAACAGGCAGGCAAGACAGAAAAGGCAGUAAGAGACAGAAGCAAUAGAUAGAGCUUAAAAUGGUAAAGCUCACGAUCGCUUACUCAGGAUUCAAUAUGAUUCACUGAUUUCUACAGAAGGGACAUGGGUGCGUCUGACGGAUUGAACGGGAACAUUGAUGCAAUGAGUAGCAAGUCUGAACAGGGCUGAACCAAAUCCAUCCAUCCAUGUCUGACCAGUUUCUCUUCUAGGUUAAGGGUUAGUUCCAGUCUUUGCCACAACUCCUCUUCCUCUUUUGUUCCAGAAAGUCAAAGCUCUGCAGUUAAGAAGAAAAAUACACCACUGAAACUUUCAGAUGCCUUGAGACAAGAUUCUUCUUCCAGAAUUCUAGUAUCAUUCCAAGGCUGGACUCUUCAGAAGUGAUUGCCUGCAAAUUUAGGAUGAGAACAAAAUCACAGUUCAAGCAAAGCCAUAUGUGCUCCUGCUCCAUG
rnacentral:lncRNA from 10 species